UGCAGUCGAACGGCAGCACGGACUUCGGUCUGGUGGCGAGUGGCGAACGGGUGAGUAAUGUAUCGGAACGUGCCCAGUAGCGGGGGAUAACUACGCGAAAGCGUAGCUAAUACCGCAUACGCCCUACGGGGGAAAGCAGGGGAUCGCAAGACCUUGCACUAUUGGAGCGGCCGAUAUCGGAUUAGCUAGUUGGUGGGGUAACGGCUCACCAAGGCGACGAUCCGUAGCUGGUUUGAGAGGACGACCAGCCACACUGGGACUGAGACACGGCCCAGACUCCUACGGGAGGCAGCAGUGGGGAAUUUUGGACAAUGGGGGAAACCCUGAUCCAGCCAUCCCGCGUGUGCGAUGAAGGCCUUCGGGUUGUAAAGCACUUUUGGCAGGAAAGAAACGUCAUGGGUUAAUACCCCGUGAAACUGACGGUACCUGCAGAAUAAGCACCGGCUAACUACGUGCCAGCAGCCGCGGUAAUACGUAGGGUGCAAGCGUUAAUCGGAAUUACUGGGCGUAAAGCGUGCGCAGGCGGUU
rnacentral:rRNA from 1 species